GGGGACGGAGAAGGUUAGGUCAGCCGGGUGUUGGACGUCCCGGUUUAAGCGUGUAGGCGUGCCCCUUAGGCAAAUCCGGGGGGCUGAGCUGAGGCGUGAUGACGAGGAACCACGGUUCCGAAGUGAUUGAUACCAAGCUUCCAGGAAAAGCCACUAAGCUUCAGUCUAGAGUUGACCGUACCGCAAACCGACACAGGUGGGCAGGAUGAAAAUUCUAAGGCGCUUGAGAGAACUCAGGAGAAGGAACUCGGCAAAUUAACACCGUAACUUCGGGAGAAGGUGUGCCCCGGUAGCGUGUAGAGACUUGCUCUCGAAGCGCGAUGGGGUUGCAGUGAAAUGGUGGCUGCGACUGUUUAAUAAAAACACAGCACUCUGCAAACACGAAAGUGGACGUAUAGGGUGUGACGCCUGCCCGGUGCCGGAAGGUUAAGUGAUGGGGUGCAAGCUCUUGAUCGAAGCCCCGGUAAACGGCGGCCGUAACAAUAACGGUCCUAAGGUAGCGAAAUUCCUUGUCGGGUAAGUUCCGACCUGCACGAAUGGCGUAACGAUGGCCACACUGUCUCCUCCUGGGACUCAGCGAAGUUGAAAUGUUUGUGAAGAUGCAAUCUACCCGCGGCUAGACGGAGAGACCCCAUGAACCUUUACUGUAGCUUUGCAUUGGACUUUGAACCGGUUUGUGUAGGAUAGGUGGGAGACUGUGAAGCCGGGACGCUAGUUUCGGUGGAGUCAACCUUGAAAUACCACCCUGAUUUGUUUGAGGUUCUAACCUUGGUCCGUGAAUCCGGAUCGGGGACCGUGCAUGGUAGGCAGUUUGACUGGGGCGGUCUCCUCCCAAAAGGUAACGGAGGAGUACGAAGGUACGCUUAGGGCGGUCGGACAUCGCCCACAAAGUGCAAUGGCAAAAGCGUGCUUGACUGCGAGACCCACAAGUCGCGCAGGUACGAAAGUAGGUCAUAGUGAUCCGGUGGUUCUGUAUGGAAGGGCCAUCGCUCAACGGAUAAAAGGUACUCUGGGGAUAACAGGCUAAUUCCUCCCAAGAGUUCAUAUCGACGGGGGAGUUUGGCACCUCGAUGUCGGCUCAUCACAUCCUGGGGCUGUAGUCGGUCCCAAGGGUAUGGCUGUUCGCCAUUUAAAGUGGUACGCGAGCUGGGUUUAAAACGUCGUGAGACAGUUUGGUCCCUAUCUGCCGUGGGCGCUGGAAAUUUGAAGGGGGCUGCUCCUAGUACGAGAGGACCGGAGUGGACGAACCUCUGGUGCACCGGUUAUGACGCCAGUCGUAUCGCCGGGUAGCUAAGUUCGGAAGAGAUAAACGCUGAAAGCAUCUAAGCGUGAAACUCGCCUUAAGAUAAGAUUUCCCGGAGUCUUGAACUCCCUGAAGGGUCGUCGAAGACCACGACGUUGAUAGGUCAGGUGUGGAAGCGCAGCAAUGCGUUAAGCUAACUGAUACUAAUUGCCCGUGCGGCUUGAUUC
rnacentral:rRNA from 1 species